UGUAUAAUGGGUCAGCGACUUAUAUUCUGUAGCAAGGUUAACCGUAUAGGGGAGCCGAAGGGAAACCGAGUCUUAACUGGGCGUUAAGUUGCAGGGUAUAGACCCGAAACCCGGUGAUCUAGCCAUGGGCAGGUUGAAGGUUGGGUAACACUAACUGGAGGACCGAACCGACUAAUGUUGAAAAAUUAGCGGAUGACUUGUGGCUGGGGGUGAAAGGCCAAUCAAACCGGGAGAUAGCUGGUUCUCCCCGAAAGCUAUUUAGGUAGCGCCUCGUGAACUCAUCUUCGGGGGUAGAGCACUGUUUCGGCUAGGGGGCCAUCCCGGCUUACCAACCCGAUGCAAACUACGAAUACCGAAGAAUGUUAUCACGGGAGACACACGGCGGGUGCUAACGUCCGUCGUGAAGAGGGAAACAACCCAGACCGCCAGCUAAGGUCCCAAAGUCAUGGUUAAGUGGGAAACGAUGUGGGAAGGCACAGACAGCCAGGAUGUUGGCUUAGAAGCAGCCAUCAUUUAAAGAAAGCGUAAUAGCUCACUGGUCGAGUCGGCCUGCGCGGAAGAUGUAACGGGGCUAAACCAUGCACCGAAGCUGCGGCAGCGACGCGUAUGCGUUGUUGGGUAGGGGAGCGUUCUGUAAGCCGUUGAAGGUGUGCUGUGAGGCAUGCUGGAGGUAUCAGAAGUGCGAAUGCUGACAUAAGUAACGAUAAAGCGGGUGAAAAGCCCGCUCGCCGGAAGACCAAGGGUUCCUGUCCAACGUUAAUCGGGGCAGGGUGAGUCGACCCCUAAGGCGAGGCCGAAAGGCGUAGUCGAUGGGAAACAGGUUAAUAUUCCUGUACUUGGUGUUACUGCGAAGGGGGGACGGAGAAGGCUAUGUUAGCCGGGCGACGGUUGUCCCGGUUUAAGCAUGUAGGCGGAGGUUCCAGGUAAAUCCGGUACCUUUUAACGCUGAGGUGUGAUGACGAGGCACUACGGUGCUGAAGUAACAAAUGCCCUGCUUCCAGGAAAAGCCUCUAAGCAUCAGGUAACAUCAAAUCGUACCCCAAACCGACACAGGUGGUCAGGUAGAGAAUACCAAGGCGCUUGAGAGAACUCGGGUGAAGGAACUAGGCAAAAUGGUGCCGUAACUUCGGGAGAAGGCACGCUGAUAUGUAGGUGAAGCCCCUGCGGGUGGAGCUGAAAUCAGUCGAAGAUACCAGCUGGCUGCAACUGUUUAUUAAAAACACAGCACUGUGCAAACACGAAAGUGGACGUAUACGGUGUGACGCCUGCCCGGUGCCGGAAGGUUAAUUGAUGGGGUUAGCGGCAACGCGAAGCUCUUGAUCGAAGCCCCGGUAAACGGCGGCCGUAACUAUAACGGUCCUAAGGUAGCGAAAUUCCUUGUCGGGUAAGUUCCGACCUGCACGAAUGGCGUAAUGAUGGCCAGGCUGUCUCCACCCGAGACUCAGUGAAAUUGAACUCGCUGUGAAGAUGCAGUGUACCCGCGGCAAGACGGAAAGACCCCGUGAACCUUUACUAUAGCUUGACACUGAACACUGGUCCUUGAUGUGUAGGAUAGGUGGGAGGCUUUGAAGCGUGGACGCCAGUCUGCGUGGAGCCGUCCUUGAAAUACCACCCUUUAAUGGCUGGUGUUCUAACGUAGACCCGUAAUCCGGGUUGCGGACAGUGUCUGGUGGGUAGUUUGACUGGGGCGGUCUCCUCCCAAAGAGUAACGGAGGAGCACGAAGGUUAGCUAAUCCUGGUCGGACAUCAGGAGGUUAGUGCAAUGGCAUAAGCUAGCUUGACUGCGAGAGUGACGGCUCGAGCAGGUGCGAAAGCAGGUCAUAGUGAUCCGGUGGUUCUGAAUGGAAGGGCCAUCGCUCAACGGAUAAAAGGUACUCCGGGGAUAACAGGCUGAUACCGCCCAAGAGUUCAUAUCGACGGCGGUGUUUGGCACCUCGAUGUCGGCUCAUCACAUCCUGGGGCUGAAGUAGGUCCCAAGGGUAUGGCUGUUCGCCAUUUAAAGUGGUACGCGAGCUGGGUUUAGAACGUCGUGAGACAGUUCGGUCCCUAUCUGCCGUGGGCGCUGGAGAAUUGAGGGGGGCUGCUCCUAGUACGAGAGGACCGGAGUGGACGCAUCACUGGUGUUCGGGUUGUCAUGCCAAUGGCACUGCCCGGUAGCUAAAUGCGGAAAAGAUAAGUGCUGAAAGCAUCUAAGCACGAAACUUGCCCCGAGAUGAGUUCUCCCUGACCCUUUAAGGGUCCUGAAGGAACGUUGAAGACGACGACGUUGAUAGGUCGGGUGUGUAAGCGCAGCGAUGCGUUGAGCUAACCGAUACUAAUGAACCGUGAGGCUUAACCUU
rnacentral:rRNA from 1 species